rnacentral:rRNA from 1 species
UACGGAGGAUCCGAGCGUUAUCCGGAUUUAUUGGGUUUAAAGGGAGCGUAGGCGGAUGUUUAAGUCAGUUGUGAAAGUUUAAGGCUCAACCUUGAAAUUGCAGUUGAUACUGGACGUCUUGAGUGCAUUAAAUGUGGGCGGAAUUCGUGGUGUAGCGGUGAAAUGCUUAGAUAUCACGAAGAACUCCAAUUGCGAAGGCAGCUCACAGGACUGUAACUGACGCUGAUGCUCGAAAGUGUGGGUAUCAAACAGGAUUAGAUACCCUGGUAGUCCACACAGUAAACGAUGAAUACUCGCUGUUUGCGAUAUACAGUAAGCGGCCAAGCGAAAGCGUUAAGUAUUCCACCUGGGGAGUACGCCGGCAACGGUGAA